AACGAACGCUGGCGGCAGGCCUAACACAUGCAAGUCGAGCGGAUCCUUCGGGAUUAGCGGCGGACGGGUGAGUAACGCGUGGGAAUAUGCCCUUCUCUACGGAAUAGCCUCGGGAAACUGGGAGUAAUACCGUAUACGCCCUACGGGGGAAAGAUUUAUCGGAGAAGGAUUAGCCCGCGUUGGAUUAGGUAGUUGGUGGGGUAAUGGCCUACCAAGCCUACGAUCCAUAGCUGGUUUGAGAGGAUGAUCAGCCACACUGGGACUGAGACACGGCCCAGACUCCUACGGGAGGCAGCAGUGGGGAAUCUUAGACAAUGGGGGAAACCCUGAUCUAGCCAUGCCGCGUGAGUGAUGAAGGCCUUAGGGUUGUAAAGCUCUUUCAGCUGGGAAGAUAAUGACGGUAACCGGAGAAGAAGCCCCGGCUAACUUCGUGCCAGCAGCCGCCGCGGUAA
rnacentral:rRNA from 1 species